rnacentral:misc_RNA from 1 species
AAAUGAAAUAUGAAAAGAGCAUCUGCUUUCGCAGGUGCUCUUUUCAUGUGAAAUAUUGGACGUCUGCGACGUCCAAUGUGAAAUAUUCCGCUUCGCGGAAUGUGAAAUAUUCG